UGUCAUCUGUGGUGGUUGAAGUGGUGGUCAGCGCCAUAUAAGAUGCUUCAUUUGGCCCCAAAUGACGUGCAUGGUAUGGUUGUGAUGACAUCCACCGCUCGAGCCAAUUCCAACCCCAUUGCACCUUUUCCCUUCCAUUUGCAUAGAAUCCUAUCUCUUUACCAUUUGGGUCGGAUUGCAAGAGUUGUUGAUGCUGCCGCUGUUGUUGCUGAUAUGCAUAAGCAUAAGCAAGGGCUCUCUCCCUCUUCAUGGCAGCAUCAUGUUUCCUGGAAGCAUUUUCCUUAAUUCUCUCUGAACUUUGAUGUCUGUUAUCCCAAGCUUCCAUUCCAUAACUCUUUAAUGGGCUCUUCGGAUAAUUUAUUCCUUCAUCCACUGAUCUCCUUUCUUCUUCUUGUUCUUCUUCCUCAACUUUCCUUUCAAGCUUCUCAUGAGCCAAUUGAAGUCUACGAGCUCUAACUCUUGCCUGCACACGUACUAGUGCUUGCAUACACCUCAUUGUCAUCUGUGCUUGCUUGCGCACAUUAUGGCCUCUCACCAAUGCUUGUAGCCUCACUAAUCCCUUCAAUGCACGCAAGGCACGCCUGGCCUGCAAAUAUACAAGACAAUUCCAAUACAAUGUUAUGGAAAAUUUUUAAAUUAAAUUUUCGAGUGCAAAGCAACUGCAACAUUUUAAUGUUGAAGAUCGCAUUUAAAGUGGCUAAUUAACUAGACUAGUUUAAUUUUCUCUUUUGAUGACGCAGAGAUCAAGAGAUCAAACUCUUGUAUUUUUAUAAUGAAUGGGAUGAAUUUAGGAAUAAGUAGGGUUUUUCCUGUUGUAAAGGGCAAAUACAAUAAAUUUCGUAGUAAAAAAAUCGCAUUUAUUAAAGUGAAUGUGUUUGAAAAUAGAAAUAGUAUUAUAUACUUUUAGUUUUUGUGUCAAUUUAACAAUAAAAUUAUAGAAUUAGAGCUUAGUGCAAGGUAUCUUUUAUAUAGUUGGCCAGAUCCUAGAAUGGUCUUCAACAAAUUUAAGCAGUGGGGGCACUGAAAGAGAAAGGCAAUAAAGAAGAAAAUAAGAGAGAAGGAAAGAGUUACAAGGUAGCCCCUGUAGUAUGACUGUAUAAGUGUAGCAGCUCUUUCCUCCUUAGAGUGACGUCCAUAACCAGCCAAUCGAACAACUUUAGCUGCUGCUUGUGCAGCUGCAACCGCAGCUUCUGCAGCCUCGGCAGUUGCCACUGCAACUGCAAGGGCAUGAUUUCUAUCUUCAGUCAGUGGACUUGAUUCAAUGCUCUCUUCAUUAGUAGCAUAUUCUGGAGAACUUUCCGCAGGGAAAUGUUCAAAUGCAACAACCUCGGGGACCUCAUGUUGCCAUUUCUCUACAUUGUCUCUCUGAAACAUACAUUAUCAGUUCCAUGAUUAAUUCCAUAAUUAUCACUGCAGGAGAAAUGUACAUAUAAUCCAUUCGUUCAAUAAACACAAAUUCAUUGUAAAAUCCUAAGCCAUGACACUCAUAACAUUACUAAAUCAAUAACCAAUUACUAAAUAUCAAUUAUAAAUCAAUCAUCAUCAUAUCAUUAUUUGGAGCUUUUGCCUCAAGUUGUGAAGGGGAAAAAAAAGAAACAAUAUUGGCAUGAUAGGGAUCCAACAAAGCAAAUCACAUGUGUUGAUGAAGAUAGAUGAUGUGAUAGCAUAGGUGGCACGAUAAUAAUUUAUAAUGGGAAGAGAUGUGCAUGGUUUGAGGGUCAUAUAUUGAUUGGGGACCAUAUAUAUGUGUCCCCUUGUUUAUUUAUGGUCCUAAAUACAGCAAGGGCAGUUCAUCUUUAAUGCGACUCUGUUAGCCAGCAGUCCAACACAUAUCGACAUAAUAAUUAAUCACCACAGAUGAUAACCUGAAGUUGGGGGAAUUUAGGAGAGAGAAAUUCACAUGUAGAUCUACACAUAUAUAUACAUUUCAAAAUUGUUUAAUUUUUUAUUAUAUAUGUUAUAUCUUUAGUUAAUUCUUUUAAAAAAUAUAAUAUAAAAAUUGUGAUUUCCAUCUUCAUUUAUUAUUUGCAAAUACACUACUUGAAUCAAUUCUAAAAAUCC
rnacentral:misc_RNA from 1 species